rnacentral:rRNA from 1 species
CUACGGGUGGCAGCAGUGAGGAAUAUUGCACAAUGGGGGAAACCCUGAUGCAGCAACGCCGCGUGGAGGAUGACGCAUUUCGGUGUGUAAACUCCUUUUAUCAGAGAAGAAAAUGACGGUAUCUGAUGAAUAAGCUCCGGCUAACUCCGUGCCAGCAGCCGCGGUAAUACGGAGGGAGCAAGCGUUAUUCGGAAUCACUGGGCGUAAAGGACGCGUAGGCGGGUUUUUAAGUCAGGUGUGAAAUCCUAUGGCUCAACCAUAGAACUGCACUUGAAACUGGGGACCUAGAGUAUGGAAGGGGCAGGUGGAAUUAGUGGUGUAGGGGUAAAAUCCGUAGAUAUCACUAGGAAUACCGAAAGCGAAGGCGACCUGCUGGGACAUUACUGACGCUGAGGCGUGAAAGCGUGGGGAGCAAACAGGAUUAGAUACCCCCGUAGUC